rnacentral:rRNA from 1 species
GAUGAACGCUAGCUACAGGCUUAACACAUGCAAGUCGAGGGGCAGCAUGAACUUAGCUUGCUAAGUUUGAUGGCGACCGGCGCACGGGUGAGUAACACGUAUCCAACCUGCCGAUGACUCGGGGAUAGCCUUUCGAAAGAAAGAUUAAUACCCGAUGGCAUAAUUCUUCCGCAUGGUAGAACUAUUAAAGAAUUUCGGUCAUCGAUGGGGAUGCGUUCCAUUAGGUUGUUGGCGGGGUAAACGGCCCACCAAGCCUACGAUGGAUAGGGGUUCUGAGAGGAAGGUCCCCCACAUUGGAACUGAGACACGGUCCAAAACUCCUACGGGAGGCAGCAGUGAGGAAUAUUGGUCAAAUGGACGCGAGUCUGAACCAGCCAAGUAGCGUGCAGGAUGACGGCCCUAUGGGUUGUAAAACUGCUUUUAUAAGGGAAUAAAGUGGGAGUCGUGACUCUUUUGCAUGUACCUAUGAAUAAGGACCGGCUAAUUCCGUGCCAGCAGCCGCGGU